rnacentral:rRNA from 1 species
CCUACGGGUGGCAGCAGUGAGGAAUAUUGAUCAAUGGACGAGAGUCUGAACCAGCCACGUAGCGUGAAGGAUGACUGCCCUAUGGAUUGUAAACUUCUUUUAUAUGGGAAUAAAAUGUUCCACGUGUGGGAUUUUGUAUGUACCAUAUGAAUAAGGAUCGGCUAAAUCCGUGCCAGCAGCCGCGGUAAUACGGAGGUGCCGAGCGUUAUCCGGAUUUAUUGGGUUUAAAGGGAGCGUAGGUGGAUUGUUAAGUCAGUUGUGAAAGUUUGCGGCUCAACCGUAAAAUUGCAGUUGAAACUGGCAGUCUGGAGUACAGUAGAGGUGGGCGGAAUUCGUGGUGUAGCGGUGAAAUGCUUAGAUAUCACGAAGAACUCCGAUUGCGAAGGCAGCUCACUGGACUGCAACUGACACUGAGGCUCGAAAGUGUGGGUAUCAAACAGGAUUAGAUACCCUAGUAGUC